rnacentral:rRNA from 1 species
GACGAACGCUGGCGGCGUGCCUAAUACAUGCAAGUCGAGCGGACGGAUGGGAGCUUGCUCCCAGACCGUCAGCGGCGGACGGGUGAGUAACACGUGGGCAACCUGCCUGUAAGACUGGGAUAACUCCGGGAAACCGGGGCUAAUACCGGAUAACUCUUUCCCUCACAUGAGGGAAAGCUGAAAGAUGGCAUCUCGCUAUCACUUACAGAUGGGCCCGCGGCGCAUUAGCUAGUUGGUGAGGUAACGGCUCACCAAGGCGACGAUGCGUAGCCGACCUGAGAGGGUGAUCGGCGACACUGGGACUGAGACACGGCCCAGACUCCUACGGGAGGCAGCAGUAGGGAAUCUUCCGCAAUGGACGAAAGUCUGACGGAGCAACGCCGCGUGAGUGAUGAAGGUUUUCGGAUCGUAAAACUCUGUUGUCAGGGAAGAACAAGUACCGGAGUAACUGCCGGUACCUUGACGGUACCUGACCAGAAAGCCACGGCUAACUACGUG